GAUGAACGCUGGCGGCGUGCCUAAUACAUGCAAGUCGAGCGAACGGACGAGAAGCUUGCUUCUCUGAUGUUAGCGGCGGACGGGUGAGUAACACGUGGAUAACCUACCUAUAAGACUGGGAUAACUUCGGGAAACCGGAGCUAAUACCGGAUGAUAUUUUGAACCGCAUGGUUCAAAAGUGAAAGACGGUCUUGCUGUCACUUAUAGAUGGAUCCGCGCUGCAUUAGCUAGUUGGUAAGGUAACGGCUUACCAAGGCAACGAUGCAUAGCCGACCUGAGAGGGGGAUAGGCCACACUGGAACGGAGACAGGGUCCAGACUCCUACGGGAGGCAGCAGUAGGGAAUCUUCCGCAAUGGGCGAAAGCCUGACGGAGCAACGCCGCGUGAGUGAUGAAGGUCUUCGGAUCGUAAAACUCUGUUAUUAGGGAAGAACAUAUGUGUAAGUAACUGUGCACAUCUUGACGGUACCUAAUCAGAAAGCCACGGCUAACUACGUG
rnacentral:rRNA from 1 species